rnacentral:rRNA from 1 species
CCUACGGGAGGCAGCAGUGGGGAAUAUUGGACAAUGGGCGAAAGCCUGAUCCAGCAAUGCCGCGUGAGUGAUGAAGGCCUUAGGGUUGUAAAGCUCUUUUACCAGGGAUGAUAAUGACAGUACCUGGAGAAUAAGCUCCGGCUAACUCCGUGCCAGCAGCCGCGGUAAUACGGAGGGAGCUAGCGUUGUUCGGAAUUACUGGGCGUAAAGCGUACGUAGGCGGUUAUUCAAGUCAGAGGUGAAAGCCUGGAGCUCAACUCCAGAACUGCCUUUGAAACUAGGUAGCUAGAAUCACGGAGAGGUUAGUGGAAUUCCGAGUGUAGAGGUGAAAUUCGUAGAUAUUCGGAAGAACACCAGUGGCGAAGGCGACUAACUGGACGUGUAUUGACGCUGAGGUACGAAAGCGUGGGGAGCAAACAGGAUUAGAUACCCUGGUAGUCCACGCCGUAAACGAUGAUAACUAGCUGUUCGGUCUCUACGAGACUGAGUGGCGCAGCUAACGCAUUAAGUUAUCCGCCUGGGGAGUACGGUCGCAAGAUUAAAACUCAAAUGAAAUUGAGG